GAUGAACGCUGGCGGCGUGCUUAACACAUGCAAGUCGAACGGUAACAGGUCCUCGGAUGCUGACGAGUGGCGAACGGGUGAGUAAUACAUCGGAACGUGCCCGAGAGUGGGGGAUAACGAAGCGAAAGCUUUGCUAAUAUCGCAUACGAUCUCAGGAUGAAAGCAGGGGACCGCAAGGCCUUGCGCUCACGGAGCGGCCGAUGGCAGAUUAGGUAGUUGGUGGGAUAAAAGCUUACCAAGCCGACGAUCUGUAGCUGGUCUGAGAGGACGACCAGCCACACUGGGACUGAGACACGGCCCAGACCCCUACGGGAGGCAGCAGUGGGGAAUUUUGGACAAUGGGCGCAAGCCUGAUCCAGCCAUGCCGCGUGCAGGAUGAAGGCCUUCGGGCUGUAAACUGCUUUUGUACGGAACGAAAAGACUCUGGUUAAUACCUGGGGUCCAUGACGGUACCGUAAGAAUAAGCACCGGCUAACUACGUGCCAGCCGCCGCAGUAA
rnacentral:rRNA from 1 species